rnacentral:lncRNA from 1 species
AAUUGAGAUAUACCAAAAGGUUAUAUUUAUCUCUGGAGGUUCAAUUGAUAUACCAAAAGGUGUAUAUUUAUCUCCUUCUAGGUUUCUACUUCAUUUAUUUUCACUGAGUACACUAAUUACGUUCUAUCUUUAGCUAUCUGUAUGUAUACUGAAAUUAAUUUAGAUCAUGAAAGAUGAGAUAUAUAUCUCUGUUUUCUUGAUUUAGAAAGUAUCCAUCUAUUUAGGCCUGUUUACUGCAUCAUAUCAUAUAUAUAUAUAUAUAUAUAUAUAUAUAUAUAUAUAUAUAUAUAUUGCUAAGUUUGGUUGAUUGUAUAGCUGAGAACAAAAUAUACAAUGGCUAAGGGGCAUACACCAGAAGUAUAGUUAAGUCAUCUGAAGACAAGCCUACAGAUGAUAAAACUAUAAACAAGAGAAAACCCUCAAAAUUACAGAAACCCUCAUGGCAUAUUAGUUCCUUCUCUUAUAUUUUACUUUCUAAUUUGCUAGACUAGCCAUUGCUAGAAACUAAACAUUAUAUAAAAGUGCAAAAGGCACACUAUUAUAUUGAUAUGGGAUUAUAAUGCAUAGCUCCCAGCAUUAACAUAAACGAGCUCAAGCUUUACCAAAGGACUGAGAUUUGUAACUUUAAAUUUAAAUGUGUGAUUACACUUUGUAGACGAGGCAAUCCACCAGAAUAGAAUCUUGCUGGUCUGAAUGCCAUAAACUUUGAGAAAGGGGGUUAUGUUAGUCAAGAAUUCUUUGCUCCUUGAUCAGAAGUAAAGGUAGCUGUAGCUGAUAAGAAGGCCGAGACUUCACUUCUGCACUUGGGGGUCUUAUGUGCUUGACUAUUUGAGCCUGGAAGAAGCCUUCAAAGGAUCAAGAACCUUGAUCAUACCACGGCAGGGUGAUGUGAAGGUUGAGCCAUUGGGCCAGAGUGUGGCCUGUGAGUAGCAUCAAGAUAAUCAACUUUCAACAGCAUAGAGCACUUUCUUAAGUGUAUGUAUAUACUUUUUAAUGCCCCUAUCAGCUCUGGAUUUGUGCUUUUUAUACACUUGUACGAUUCAGUUAUUUGAGAAGAAAAAAAGCCCGAGGAAUGGUUCAGAAAUAGUUAUGACAGAGUGAGUUGUAGCAGUUGAAAUCUGUUAGUUUUACUUAUUACGUUUUUUUUAAAAAAAAAAAAAUUGAUUUUAUACAUAUGUAAAAAGAGUCCUUUUAGGGGGACAUUUUUU